AGCGAACGCUGGCGGCAGGCCUAACACAUGCAAGUCGAACGCCCCGCAAGGGGAGUGGCAGACGGGUGCGUAACGCGUGGGAAACUUCCUUUUAGUUCGGAAUAGCCCAGGGAAACUUGGAUUAAUACCGAAUACGCCCUACGGGGGAAAGAUUUAUCGCUAAAAGAUGUGCCCGCGUUGGAUUAGCUAGUUGGUAAGGUAAUGGCUCACCAAGGCGAUGAUCCAUAGCUGGUCUGAGAGGAUGAUCAGCCACACUGGAACUGAGACACGGUCCAGACUCCUACGGGAGGCAGCAGUGGGUAAUAUUGGACAAUGGGCGCAAGCCUGAUCCAGCCAUGCCGCGUGAAUGACGAAGGCCUUCGGGUUGUAAAGUUCUUUUAGUGGGGAAAAUAAUGAUGGUACCCACAGAAAAAGCUCCGGCUAACUUCGUGCCAGCCGCCGCCGUAA
rnacentral:rRNA from 1 species